rnacentral:lncRNA from 1 species
AAAUGUGCAGUUAGUUUUCAAAGUAGAGUCAGUUAUGCCCAUUUAUCAUUUAUUAAUCUCACUGUCUCACACGAACAAAAACCAUAGAAAGUUGCAUAAUAAAUGGCAAUUGUCAAUUGACAUGACUUGCAUCAAUUAGGACCUUCAAUUAGAAACUUUCUAGGUGUUUCUCUGAAUUUUUCCAAAUUGAAACCCUACCAUCCUAACCCUACAAUAUAAACAAGAAAAAGACCAACAACAAAUUUAGGGCUCUAUAUCUUACAAAUCAGAUUAAUUGAGAAAGGAAUAGAGGGAAAAUGUUGUGCUUAUCUACUUUUUGCCGGUCUGUGGGCAAGCUGCGAUGAUGAUUCGCCGGCGUCGGCCACGGCGAUCGGCGCACUGCAUGGACGUGGAACCGAUUGGAGCCUGGAGGAGAGGACCGAAGAGGUGAGAGGUCGUGAAGACUGAAGACGAAGAGACGGAGCCGGCGAGAGGGAUGCGCAUGCCUCGGUGUGUGACUUAAGAAAAAGAUAGAAACUAUCGAUCUG